rnacentral:rRNA from 1 species
GGUUAAGCGACUAAGCGUACACGGUGGAUGCCCUGGCAGUCAGAGGCGAUGAAGGACGUGCUAAUCUGCGAUAAGCGUCGGUAAGGUGAUAUGAACCGUUAUAACCGGCGAUUUCCGAAUGGGGAAACCCAGUGUGUUUCGACACACUAUCAUUAACUGAAUCCAUAGGUUAAUGAGGCGAACCGGGGGAACUGAAACAUCUAAGUACCCCGAGGAAAAGAAAUCAACCGAGAUUCCCCCAGUAGCGGCGAGCGAACGGGGAGGAGCCCAGAGCCUGAAUCAGUGUGUGUGUUAGUGGAAGCGUCUGGAAAGGCGCGCGAUACAGGGUGACAGCCCCGUACACAAAAAUGCACAUGCUGUGAGCUCGAUGAGUAGGGCGGGACACGUGGUAUCCUGUCUGAAUAUGGGGGGACCAUCCUCCAAGGCUAAAUACUCCUGACUGACCGAUAGUGAACCAGUACCGUGAGGGAAAGGCGAAAAGAACCCCGGCGAGGGGAGUGAAAAAGAACCUGAAACCGUGUACGUACAAGCAGUGGGAGCCUCUUUUAUGGGGUGACUGCGUACCUUUUGUAUAAUGGGUCAGCGACUUAUAUUCUGUAGCAAGGUUAACCGAAUAGGGGAGCCGAAGGGAAACCGAGUCUUAACUGGGCGUUAAGUUGCAGGGUAUAGACCCGAAACCCGGUGAUCUAGCCAUGGGCAGGUUGAAGGUUGGGUAACACUAACUGGAGGACCGAACCGACUAAUGUUGAAAAAUUAGCGGAUGACUUGUGGCUGGGGGUGAAAGGCCAAUCAAACCGGGAGAUAGCUGGUUCUCCCCGAAAGCUAUUUAGGUAGCGCCUCGUGAAUUCAUCUCCGGGGGUAGAGCACUGUUUCGGCAAGGGGGUCAUCCCGACUUACCAACCCGAUGCAAACUGCGAAUACCGGAGAAUGUUAUCACGGGAGACACACGGCGGGUGCUAACGUCCGUCGUGAAGAGGGAAACAACCCAGACCGCCAGCUAAGGUCCCAAAGUCAUGGUUAAGUGGGAAACGAUGUGGGAAGGCCCAGACAGCCAGGAUGUUGGCUUAGAAGCAGCCAUCAUUUAAAGAAAGCGUAAUAGCUCACUGGUCGAGUCGGCCUGCGCGGAAGAUGUAACGGGGCUAAACCAUGCACCGAAGCUGCGGCAGCGACGCUUAUGCGUUGUUGGGUAGGGGAGCGUUCUGUAAGCCUGUGAAGGUGUGCUGUGAGGCAUGCUGGAGGUAUCAGAAGUGCGAAUGCUGACAUAAGUAACGAUAAAGCGGGUGAAAAGCCCGCUCGCCGGAAGACCAAGGGUUCCUGUCCAACGUUAAUCGGGGCAGGGUGAGUCGACCCCUAAGGCGAGGCCGAAAGGCGUAGUCGAUGGGAAACAGGUUAAUAUUCCUGUACUUGGUGUUACUGCGAAGGGGGGACGGAGAAGGCUAUGUUGGCCGGGCGACGGUUGUCCCGGUUUAAGCGUGUAGGCUGGUUUUCCAGGCAAAUCCGGAAAAUCAAGGCUGAGGCGUGAUGACGAGGCACUACGGUGCUGAAGCAACAAAUGCCCUGCUUCCAGGAAAAGCCUCUAAGCAUCAGGUAACAUCAAAUCGUACCCCAAACCGACACAGGUGGUCAGGUAGAGAAUACCAAGGCGCUUGAGAGAACUCGGGUGAAGGAACUAGGCAAAAUGGUGCCGUAACUUCGGGAGAAGGCACGCUGAUAUGUAGGUGAAGCGACUUGCUCGUGGAGCUGAAAUCAGUCGAAGAUACCAGCUGGCUGCAACUGUUUAUUAAAAACACAGCACUGUGCAAACACGAAAGUGGACGUAUACGGUGUGACGCCUGCCCGGUGCCGGAAGGUUAAUUGAUGGGGUUAGCGCAAGCGAAGCUCUUGAUCGAAGCCCCGGUAAACGGCGGCCGUAACUAUAACGGUCCUAAGGUAGCGAAAUUCCUUGUCGGGUAAGUUCCGACCUGCACGAAUGGCGUAAUGAUGGCCAGGCUGUCUCCACCCGAGACUCAGUGAAAUUGAACUCGCUGUGAAGAUGCAGUGUACCCGCGGCAAGACGGAAAGACCCCGUGAACCUUUACUAUAGCUUGACACUGAACAUUGAGCCUUGAUGUGUAGGAUAGGUGGGAGGCUUAGAAGUGUGGACGCCAGUCUGCAUGGAGCCGACCUUGAAAUACCACCCUUUAAUGUUUGAUGUUCUAACGUUGACCCGUAAUCCGGGUUGCGGACAGUGUCUGGUGGGUAGUUUGACUGGGGCGGUCUCCUCCUAAAGAGUAACGGAGGAGCACGAAGGUUGGCUAAUCCUGGUCGGACAUCAGGAGGUUAGUGCAAUGGCAUAAGCCAGCUUGACUGCGAGCGUGACGGCGCGAGCAGGUGCGAAAGCAGGUCAUAGUGAUCCGGUGGUUCUGAAUGGAAGGGCCAUCGCUCAACGGAUAAAAGGUACUCCGGGGAUAACAGGCUGAUACCGCCCAAGAGUUCAUAUCGACGGCGGUGUUUGGCACCUCGAUGUCGGCUCAUCACAUCCUGGGGCUGAAGUAGGUCCCAAGGGUAUGGCUGUUCGCCAUUUAAAGUGGUACGCGAGCUGGGUUUAGAACGUCGUGAGACAGUUCGGUCCCUAUCUGCCGUGGGCGCUGGAGAACUGAGGGGGGCUGCUCCUAGUACGAGAGGACCGGAGUGGACGCAUCACUGGUGUUCGGGUUGUCAUGCCAAUGGCACUGCCCGGUAGCUAAAUGCGGAAGAGAUAAGUGCUGAAAGCAUCUAAGCACGAAACUUGCCCCGAGAUGAGUUCUCCCUGACUCCUUGAGAGUCCUGAAGGAACGUUGAAGACGACGACGUUGAUAGGCCGGGUGUGUAAGCGCAGCGAUGCGUUGAGCUAACCGGUACUAAUGAACCGUGAGGCUUAACCUU